rnacentral:lncRNA from 13 species
UAUGUAUAUAUAUAUAUAUAUGGAGAGAGAGACAGAGAGAUUUCUUAUGGGAAUCAGCUCACACAAUUAUGGAGAUGAAGUAUUCCCGCAAUAUACCAUCUCUGAGCUGAAGAACUAGGAACCAGUAAUGUAAUUCAGUCUAAGGGUAAUUCCGUCUAAGUUCAAAGGUCGGAGAACAGGGAGCCAACAGUGUAAUUUCUAGUCUGAGGCUGAAGGCCUGAGAACUGGAGAGAGUAGGGGGAGUCCUAAGGCCCAAGGCCCAGGAUCUUCGGUGACCUAGGCAAGAAAAAUGAAUCUCCCAGCUGAAAAGAGAGUGAGAAUUUGUUCUCCUACGUUUUUGUUUUAUUUGGGUCCUCAAUAUAUUGGAUGAUGCCUGCCAACAUUGGUAAGAGUUGAUCUUUACUCACUCUACCAAUUCACAUGCUAAUCUCUUCCAAUUAGACUAAGUUUAACCUGUGAUUAAGGUCCACUGAUGACUACAACAACCCAAUACAGAAAGAAUUACUCUUGGCCCAGACUCUUCAGGAAUGAAGGUUUGAGGAACCCUACAAGUUAAAGAAACAUAAUUUGCUGAGGUGCUUAUAGAAAGCAAAGGUGGCCAGGUGCAGUGGUGGCUCACGCCUGUAAUCCCAGCACUUUGGGAGGCCGACGAGGGGGGGAUGGCAAGGUCAAGAGGUCCAGACCAUUCUGGCCAACAUGGUGAAACCCCAUCUCUACUAAAAAUGCAAAAAUUAGAAGGGCAUUUGGCAUGCGCCCAAACUACUACUACCCAGCUACUCUGGAGGCUGAGGCGAAGAAUCGCUUGAACCCAGGAGGUAGAAGUUGCAGUGAGCCAAGACUGAGCCACUGUGCUCCAGCCUGGCGACAGAGCAAGACUCCGUCUCGAAAGAAAAAAAAAGAAAGAAAGCAAAGCUGGACAGAACUUUCAUAUGUGUAUAAAAUCCUGCUCUCUAUGGAACCCCUUCAACUUGCUGAAUCAAAUGAUCUAUGUAGCAAAGUAGAUUUCAUGGAAGCAUAGAAGACGAAGAAAAGAUGACAUAGUGAAAAAAGGUACAGACUUGCAAUGUAGCUCUAGAAGUUUUGGCCAGGUUAAUAUU